UCCCUCUUCGCUCAGUUAGUAGAGCGCCUCACUAGUACGUAACUCCUUCGUCGCCUUAUGACGAGGUCAGUCGUUCCAGUCGGCUGGAGGGAA